UCUGUUGGUUGGUCUGUUGGUUGGUUGGUUGGUCUGUUUGCGCAACUUUAACAUUUUGCAAUAACUUUUGCUAUAUUGAAUAUAGCAACUUGAUAUUUGGCAUGCAUGUGUAUCUUAUGGAGCUGCACAUUUUGAGUGGUGAAAGGUCAAGGUCAUCCUUCAAGGUCAGAGGUCAAAUAUAUGUGGCCAAAAUCGCUUAUUUUAUGAAUACUUUUGCAAUAUUGAAGAUAGCAACUUGAUAUUUGGCAUGCAUGUGUAUCUCAUGGAGCUGCACAUUUUGAGUGGUGAAAGGUCAAGGUCAUCCUUCAAGGUCAGAGGUCAAAUAUAUGUGGCCCAAAUCGCUUAUUUUAUGAAUACUUUUGCAAUAUUGAAGAUAGCAACUUGAUAUUUGGCAAGCAUGUGUAUCUCAUGGAGCUGCACAUUUUGAGUGGUGAAAGGUCAAGGUCGAGGUCAUCCUUCAAGGUCAAAUAUAUGGGUCAAAAUUGCUCAUGUAAUGUCACUUCUGCAAUAUUGAAGCUAGCAAUUUUAUAUUUGAAAUGCAUGUGUAUCUCAUGGAGCUGCACAUUUUGAGUGGUGAAGGGUCAAGGUCAUCCUUCAAGGUCAAACGUCAUAUAGGGGGACAUUGUGUUUCACAAACGCAU